rnacentral:rRNA from 1 species
CCUACGGGAGGCAGCAGUGGGGAAUAUUGCACAAUGGGGGAAACCCUGAUGCAGCGACGUCGCGUGAGUGAAGACGUAUCUCGGUAUGUAAAGCUCUAUCAGCAGGGAAGAAAAUGACGGUACCUGAUUAAGAAGCCCCGGGUAAUUACGUGCCAGCAGCCGCGGUAAUACGUAGGGGGCAAGCGGUAUUCGGAUUUACUGGGUGUAAAGGGAGCGUUAGUGGGGAUGCAAGUCAGAAGUGAAAGCUCGGGGGUCAACUCCGGGAGUGCUUUUGAAACUGUUUAACUGGAGUGCAGGAGAGGUAAGCGGAAUGCGUGGUGUAGCGGUGAAAUGCGUAGAUAUCAGGAGGAACACCAGUUGCGAAGGCAGCUUACUGGAGUGUAACUGACGUUGAGGCUCGAAAGCGUGGGGAGCGAACAGGAUUAGAUACCCGUGUAGUC